GACGAACGCUGGCGGCGUGCCUAAUACAUGCAAGUCGAGCGAAUCAAUGGGAGCUUGCUCCCUGAGAUUAGCGGCGGACGGGUGAGUAACACGUGGGUAACCUGCCUGUAAGACUGGGAUAACUUCGGGAAACCGGAGCUAAUACCGGAUAAUUUCUUUUCUCGCAUGAGGAAAGAUGGAAAGAUGGUUCUGCUAUCACUUACAGAUGGACCCGCGGCGCAUUAGCUAGUUGGUGAGGUAACGGCUCACCAAGGCGACGAUGCGUAGCCGACCUGAGAGGGUGAUCGGCCACACUGGGACUGAGACACGGCCCAGACUCCUACGGGAGGCAGCAGUAGGGAAUCUUCCGCAAUGGACGAAAGUCUGACGGAGCAACGCCGCGUGAGCGAAGAAGGCCUUCGGGUCGUAAAGCUCUGUUGUUAGGGAAGAACAAGUAUCGGAGUAACUGCCGGUACCUUGACGGUACCUAACCAGAAAGCCACGGCUAACUACGUGCCAGCAGCCGCAGUAAUAC
rnacentral:rRNA from 1 species